ACACGCUUAUUUAAAAAUUCUAUUUACAUCUGAAAGGAAAAUAUUGUAUAAGUAUUGCAGAUGAGCAGAUCACAACAUGAAUAAGACAUCUGAGCGAUGAAUGUGUGCUAUUGUGUAGGAUAAUUCACUGUUGUCAACACUGUUUACAUUAGACAAAUGUGCUGUAAAUAAGGUAAAUAAACAAAUCUAUAAAGUAACUAAAUAUGUUAUAUAUUUUAUUUGUCCCUUAUUACUGUUGAUAAAUUGAGGAACAUUUAAGUUGGAUAAAAAGUGAGUUAACACAUCAGCUACAACCUCAGCAUGUAAAUGUAGUGUUGAGCUCAUAAAUCACAGAGGUAAUGUGAAUCUUGUCAGGAUGUUACAGGGACAGAAGAACACGCGUGUGUUUAUCCAGUGGAGAGAGGCUUGUGAUGCUGAAUGCUGUCAUCAAAGGCUUUGAAGCUUUUGUGGUGGAGCAGGACCUGCAAGGAAAGAUGAUGGCAGCAUUUGUUGGGAAAAAAAGGUUUUAGGGAUUUUACUCAAAUAUAAAAGGAUCUGAAGUCUGCAGACUGGUGUGAGCACUGAGGAUGAAGAGCACAGAGCUGAAUCCUGGAAGUGGUGCCAUGGAUGAGUCCUUCCAUCUCUCCAUCUGCCCUUAUUGCCUCAGAUUGUGAAGCGCAGCGCAACGCAGCAACAAGCUCUGGCACGAAGGCACGGUCACCUCUGGUGAAUUCAUCAGAAUAAAGCCGCAGAAUGGGAACCGCUGUGUUGAGAUGGCAGUAGGAUUUGGGGUUCAGCGCCUGUAAAUACAUGCUUGUAGUUUGAAUAAAGCUUUGUUCCAUGUGUU